rnacentral:rRNA from 1 species
GAUGAACGCUGGCGGCGUGCCUAAUACAUGCAAGUCGAGCGAAUGGAUUAAGAGCUUGCUCUUAUGAAGUUAGCGGCGGACGGGUGAGUAACACGUGGGUAACCUGCCCAUAAGACUAGGAUAACUCCGGGAAACCGGGGCUAAUACCGGAUAACAUUUUGAACCGCAUGGUUCGAAAUUGCAAGUCGGCUUCGGCUGUCACUUAUGGAUGGACCCGCGUCGCAUUAGCUAGUUGGUGAGGUAACGGCUCACCAAGGCAACGAUGCGUAGCCGACCUGAGAGGGUGAUCGGCCACACUGGGACUGAGACACGGCCCAGACUCCUACGGGAGGCAGCAGUAGGGAAUCUUCCGCAAUGGACGAAAGUCUGACGGAGCAACGCCGCGUGAGUGAUGAAGGCUUUCGGGUCGUAAAACUCUGUUGUUAGGGAAGAACAAGUGCUAGUUGAAUAAGCUGGCACCUUGACGGUACCUAACCAGAAAGCCACGGCUAACUACGUGCCAGCCGCCGCAGUAA